GGGUUGUGAGGUUAAGCGACUAAGCGUACACGGUGGAUGCCCUGGCAGUCAGAGGCGAUGAAGGACGUGCUAAUCUGCGAUAAGCGUCGGUAAGGUGAUAUGAACCGUUAUAACCGGCGAUUUCCGAAUGGGGAAACCCAGUGUGAUUCGUCACACUAUCAUUAACUGAAUCCAUAGGUUAAUGAGGCGAACCGGGGGAACUGAAACAUCUAAGUACCCCGAGGAAAAGAAAUCAACCGAGAUUCCCCCAGUAGCGGCGAGCGAACGGGGAGCAGCCCAGAGCCUGAAUCAGUGUGUGUUUAGUGGAAGCGUCUGGAAAGGCGCGCGAUACAGGGUGACAGCCCCGUACACAAAAAUGCACAUGCUGUGAGCUCGAUGAGUAGGGCGGGACACGUGGUAUCCUGUCUGAAUAUGGGGGGACCAUCCUCCAAGGCUAAAUACUCCUGACUGACCGAUAGUGAACCAGUACCGUGAGGGAAAGGCGAAAAGAACCCCGGCGAGGGGAGUGAAAAAGAACCUGAAACCGUGUACGUACAAGCAGUGGGAGCCUCUUAAUGGGGUGACUGCGUACCUUUUGUAUAAUGGGUCAGCGACUUAUAUUCUGUAGCAAGGUUAACCGAAUAGGGGAGCCGAAGGGAAACCGAGUCUUAACUGGGCGUUAAGUUGCAGGGUAUAGACCCGAAACCCGGUGAUCUAGCCAUGGGCAGGUUGAAGGUUGGGUAACACUAACUGGAGGACCGAACCGACUAAUGUUGAAAAAUUAGCGGAUGACUUGUGGCUGGGGGUGAAAGGCCAAUCAAACCGGGAGAUAGCUGGUUCUCCCCGAAAGCUAUUUAGGUAGCGCCUCGUGAAUUCAUCUCCGGGGGUAGAGCACUGUUUCGGCAAGGGGGUCAUCCCGACUUACCAACCCGAUGCAAACUGCGAAUACCGGAGAAUGUUAUCACGGGAGACACACGGCGGGUGCUAACGUCCGUCGUGAAGAGGGAAACAACCCAGACCGCCAGCUAAGGUCCCAAAGUCAUGGUUAAGUGGAAACGAUGUGGGGAAGGCCCAGACAGCCAGGAUGUUGGCUUAGAAGCAGCCAUCAUUAAAGAAAGCGUAAUAGCUCACUGGUCGAGUCGGCCUGCGCGGAAGAUGUAACGGGGCUAAACCAUGCACCGAAGCUGCGGCAGCGACGCUUAUGCGUUGUUGGGUAGGGGAGCGUUCUGUAAGCCUGCGAAGGUGUACUGUGAGGUAUGCUGGAGGUAUCAGAAGUGCGAAUGCUGACAUAAGUAACGAUAAAGCGGGUGAAAAGCCCGCUCGCCGGAAGACCAAGGGUUCCUGUCCAACGUUAAUCGGGCCAGGUGAGUCGACCCCUAAGGCGAGGCCGAAAGGCGUAGUCGAUGGGAAACAGGUUAAUAUUCCUGUACUUGGUGUUACUGCGAAGGGGGGACGGAGAAGGCUAUGUUGGCCGGGCGACGGUUGUCCCGGUUUAAGCGUGUAGGCUGGUUUUCCAGGCAAAUCCGGAAAAUCAAGGCUGAGGCGUGAUGACGAGGCACUACGGUGCUGAAGCAACAAAUGCCCUGCUUCCAGGAAAAGCCUCUAAGCAUCAGGUAACAUCAAAUCGUACCCCAAACCGACACAGGUGGUCAGGUAGAGAAUACCAAGGCGCUUGAGAGAACUCGGGUGAAGGAACUAGGCAAAAUGGUGCCGUAACUUCGGGAGAAGGCACGCUGAUACGUAGGUGAAGUCCCUUGCGGAUGGAGCUGAAAUCAGUCGAAGAUACCAGCUGGCUGCAACUGUUUAUUAAAAACACAGCACUGUGCAAACACGAAAGUGGACGUAUACGGUGUGACGCCUGCCCGGUGCCGGAAGGUUAAUUGAUGGGGUUAGCGGUAACGCGAAGCUCUUGAUCGAAGCCCCGGUAAACGGCGGCCGUAACUAUAACGGUCCUAAGGUAGCGAAAUUCCUUGUCGGGUAAGUUCCGACCUGCACGAAUGGCGUAAUGAUGGCCAGGCUGUCUCCACCCGAGACUCAGUGAAAUUGAACUCGCUGUGAAGAUGCAGUGUACCCGCGGCAAGACGGAAAGACCCCGUGAACCUUUACUAUAGCUUGACACUGAACAUUGAGCCUUGAUGUGUAGGAUAGGUGGGAGGCUUUGAAGUGUGGACGCCAGUCUGCAUGGAGCCGACCUUGAAAUACCACCCUUUAAUGUUUGAUGUUCUAACGUUGGCCCCUAAUCGGGGUUGCGGACAGUGUCUGGUGGGUAGUUUGACUGGGCGGUCUCCUCCUAAAGAGUAACGGAGGAGCACGAAGGUUGGCUAAUCCUGGUCGGACAUCAGGAGGUUAGUGCAAUGGCAUAAGCCAGCUUGACUGCGAGCGUGACGGCGCGAGCAGGUGCGAAAGCAGGUCAUAGUGAUCCGGUGGUUCUGAAUGGAAGGGCCAUCGCUCAACGGAUAAAAGGUACUCCGGGGAUAACAGGCUGAUACCGCCCAAGAGUUCAUAUCGACGGCGGUGUUUGGCACCUCGAUGUCGGCUCAUCACAUCCUGGGGCUGAAGUAGGUCCCAAGGGUAUGGCUGUUCGCCAUUUAAAGUGGUACGCGAGCUGGGUUUAGAACGUCGUGAGACAGUUCGGUCCCUAUCUGCCGUGGGCGCUGGAGAACUGAGGGGGGCUGCUCCUAGUACGAGAGGACCGGAGUGGACGCAUCACUGGUGUUCGGGUUGUCAUGCCAAUGGCACUGCCCGGUAGCUAAAUGCGGAAGAGAUAAGUGCUGAAAGCAUCUAAGCACGAAACUUGCCCCGAGAUGAGUUCUCCCUGACUCCCUGAGAGUCCUGAAGGAACGUUGAAGACGACGACGUUGAUAGGCCGGGUGUGUAAGCGCAGCGAUGCGUUGAGCUAACCGGUACUAAUGAACCGUGAGGCUUAACCUUACAACGCCGAAG
rnacentral:rRNA from 1 species